GGUCUUCUGGCCAAGUUGGUACGGCCUAGCGGUUGCAAUUCUAGCGUUCUCAGCGUUUAUAUACUUACUCAACAUCUUUACUCCGCAUCGUUAGGCACCGAGGGUUCGAUUCCCUCGAUGGCCA